rnacentral:rRNA from 1 species
AUUGAACGCUGGCGGCAUGCCUUACACAUGCAAGUCGAACGGUAACAGGUCUUCGGAUGCUGACGAGUGGCGAACGGGUGAGUAAUACAUCGGAACGUGCCCGAUCGUGGGGGAUAACGGAGCGAAAGCUUUGCUAAUACCGCAUACGAUCUACGGAUGAAAGCAGGGGACCGCAAGGCCUUGCGCGGACGGAGCGGCCGAUGGCAGAUUAGGUAGUUGGUGGGAUAAAAGCUUACCAAGCCGACGAUCUGUAGCUGGUCUGAGAGGACGACCAGCCACACUGGGACUGAGACACGGCCCAGACUCCUACGGGAGGCAGCAGUGGGGAAUUUUGGACAAUGGGCGAAAGCCUGAUCCAGCCAUGCCGCGUGCAGGAUGAAGGCCUUCGGUUGUAACUAGCUUUGUACGGACGAAAGACUCUUCUAUAAGGGGUCAGUGACGGUACGUAAGAAUAAGACACCGCGUAACUACGUGCCAGCAGCCGCGGUAACUACG